UACGUAGGUGGCGAGCGUUGUCCGGAUUUACUGGGCGUAAAGGGCGCGUAGGCGGCCUGGUCAGUCGGAUGUGAAAGCCCGGGGCUCAACCCCGGAACGGCAUCCGAGACGGCCAGGCUGGAGACCGGGAGAGGAGAGUGGAAUAGCCAGUGUAGAGGUGAAAUUCGUAGAUAUUGGCUGGAACACCGGUGGCGAAAGCGGCUCUCUGGCCCGGUUCUGACGCUGAGGCGCGAAAGCGUGGGGAGCAAACAGG
rnacentral:rRNA from 1 species